rnacentral:rRNA from 1 species
UACGUAGGGUGCAAGCGUUGUCCGGAAUUAUUGGGCGUAAAGAGCUCGUAGGCGGUCUGUCACGUCUGCCGUGAAAACCCGAGGCUUAACCUCGUGGCUUGCGGUGGAUACGGGCAGACUAGAGGUAGGUAGGGGAGAACGGAAUUCCCGGUGUAGCGGUGAAAUGCGCAGAUAUCGGGGAGGAACACCGGGUGGCGAAGGCGGUUCUCUGGGCCUCACCUGACGCUGAGGAGCGAAAGCAUGGGGAGCGAACAGG